rnacentral:rRNA from 1 species
GAUGAGCGCUGGCGGCGUGCCUAAUACAUGCAAGUCGAGCGAACAGACGAGGAGCUUGCUCCUCUGACGUUAGCGGCGGACGGGUGAGUAACACGUGGAUAACCUACCUAUAAGACUGGGAUAACUUCGGGAAGCCGGAGCUAAUACCGGAUAAUAUAUUGAACCGCAUGGUUCAAUAGUGAAAGACGGUUUUGCUGUCACUUAUAGAUGGAUCCGCGCCGCAUUAGCUAGUUGGUAAGGUAACGGCUUACCAAGGCAACGAUGCGUAGCCGACCUGAGAGGGUGAUCGGCCACACUGGAACUGAGACACGGUCCAGACUCCUACGGGAGGCAGCAGUAGGGAAUCUUCCGCAAUGGGCGAAAGCCUGACGGAGCAACGCCGCGUGAGUGAUGAAGGUCUUCGGAUCGUAAAACUCUGUUAUUAGGGAAGAACAAAUGUGUAAGUAACUAUGCACGUCUUGACGGUACCUAAUCAGAAAGCCACGGCUAACUACGUG